UACGAAGGGGGGCUAGCGUUAAUCGGAAUUACUGGGCGUAAAGCGUGCGUAGGCGGUUUCUUAAGUCCGUUGUGAAAGCCCUGGGCUCAACCUGGGAACUGCGAUGGAUACUGAGGAGCUGGAGUACGGUAGAGGAAGGUGGAAUUCCCGGUGUAGCGGUGAAAUGCGCAGAUAUCAGGAGGAACACCGGUGGCGAAGGCGGGUCUCUGGGCCGAUACUGACGCUGAGGUGCGAAAGCGUGGGGAGCAAACGGG
rnacentral:rRNA from 1 species